rnacentral:rRNA from 1 species
GACGAACGCUGGCGGCGUGCUUAACACGUGCAAGUCGAGCGGUAAGGCCCCUUUGGGGGUACACGAGCGGCGAACGGGUGAGUAACACGUGGGUGACCUGCCCUCAGCUCUGGGAUAAGCCUGGGAAACUGGGUCUAAUACCGGAUAUGACUCCAUGACGCAUGUUGUGGGGUGGAAAGCCUUGUGCGGCUGGGGAUGGGCCCGCGGCCUAUCAGCUUGUUGGUGGGGUGANGGCCUACCAAGGCGACGACGGGUAGCCGGCCUGAGAGGGCGACCGGCCACACUGGGACUGAGACACGGCCCAGACUCCUACGGGAGGCAGCAGUGGGGAAUCUUGCGCAAUGGGCGAAAGCCUGACGCAGCGACGCCGCGUGAGGGAUGACGGCCUCGG